CAGUAGCCGCGGGAAAACGUAGGUGGCAAGCGUUGUCCGGAAUUAUUGGGCGUAAAGGGCUCGCAGGCGGUUUCUUAAGUCUGAUGUGAAAGCCCCCGGCUCAACCGGGGAGGGUCAUUGGAAACUGGGAAACUUGAGUGCAGAAGAGGAGAGUGGAAUUCCACGUGUAGCGGUGAAAUGCGUAGAGAUGUGGAAGAACACCAGUGGCGAAGGCGACUCUCUGGUCUGUAACUGACGCUGAGGAGCGAAAGCGUGGGGAGCGAACAGGAUUAGAUACCCGCGUAGUCCCUGUCUCUUAUAC
rnacentral:rRNA from 1 species